UUUAGUCUCAGUUUUACUAUUUUUCUAUUUCUAGUUGGAGGAGCUGUAAUGAAACCCAAUUUCCACCCCCAAGGAACAAUAAGAGGAGCUGUAAAUCUCACGUGAGGAGGACAACAACGUCCGGGACUCACCGUUCACCUAAGUAGUCCCCGAUCACCGUCUUGUUCAGGCCCUCGCCUUUGUAGAGGAACUGUGCGAUGUCUUCUGGAGUGUGUUGGAGGAGGUCGUUCUCCAGCAGGAACUGGAUUCCCUGGAGACGGAGAAGACAAAAGACGGAGAAAAAAGAGGACGGCUGUUCAUCUCAAUGGAGGACAAAGUGUCACCGCUAAGGAACAAUCUCUUCACUGCACAUCUCGUUAAGUCUCUCUGAGGAAGACGAGCUGCAGUGCUGCACCAUCAUGAACUACGGAAGCC